UACGAAGGGGGCUAGCGUUGUUCGGAAUCACUGGGCGUAAAGAGCGCGCAGGCGGUCGUUCAAGUCGAGUGUGAAAGCCCCCGGCUCAACUGGGGAGGGUCACUCGAUACUGAUCGACUUGAAGGCAGGAGAGGGAAGCGGAAUUCCCGGUGUAGUGGUGGAAAUGCGUAGAGAUCGGGAGGAAGGCCGGUGGCGAAGGCGGCGCUCUGGAACAUUUCUGACGCUGAGGCUCGAAAGCGUGGGGAGCAAACAGGG
rnacentral:rRNA from 1 species